rnacentral:lncRNA from 1 species
CUGCUUGUCAACUCUAGUCACCUUCUGAAUGCGAAAGGGAGUUCUGACAGGUGUUAACUUAUUCUACUGUAAUACACCCCUCAAAUUUCCAUAGAGCCAUGCUCCGUAUGGGCAUCCUUUAAUAAGCCAGGUUUCCAUUGCCCUUUUACCUGAGUGUAUGGCCAAGCCAUUGGUCACUGCCCAUAAGUCAGUAGAAACCCAAACACAAGGGCUUCCAUCACUGUUCAAUUCUUCCAUUACUGUUAGAAAAACAGCAUGCAGCUCAGCCCACCAAGUUGAUCUAUUUUUACCAUCCAAACAGGAUGUUGUUCAUUCACUUCGGAACUGCAGUCUGUAAACCAAGCACCUUGGGCUGGCCACUGUGGCUCACACCUGUAAUCUCAGUGUUUUGGGAGGCUAAGGCAAGCGGAUCACCUGAGCCCAGGAGUUCAAGGCCAGCCUGGGCAACAUAGCGAGACCUUGUCUUAAAAAACAGAAACAAAAAUAAGCCAGGCAUGGUGGCUUGUACCUGUAGUCCCAGUUACUCGGGAGGCUGAAGUGGAUGGAUCGCUUGAACCCAGGAGGUCAAGGCUGCAGUGAGCCAUGAUUGAGCCACUGCAGUACAGCCUGAGUGACAAAACAAGACCCCAUCUCAAACCACUCCCUACCCAGCCCAGGCACAGUGCCUCAC